rnacentral:tRNA from 1 species
GGUGGCUCAGUGGUAGAGCACUUGCCUUGCAUGCAAGAGGCCCUGGGUUCGAUUCCUUAGCACCA